rnacentral:snoRNA from 1 species
GUCACGCGUGGUUGGGCAGGUGCAAAAGAUAAAUCCUCUUUUGCAACCCAGAACUCAUUGUUCAGGAUGAGUUUUGAUACAUACAAGAAGGAAGACA